rnacentral:pre_miRNA from 1 species
UUCUAUGUUCCAGAGAAACUUGGAAGACUUGUGAUUUAGUUGUUUAAUAUUAAGUGAUAUAAACUUGUUAAAUAUAAUGAACAACAAUCACAAAUCUCCAUGUGAAAUCUGGUUAAACAACUAA